rnacentral:rRNA from 1 species
UGGGGAAUAUUGCACAAUGGGCGCAAGCCUGAUGCAGCCAUGCCGCGUGUGUGAAGAAGGCCUUCGGGUUGUAAAGCACUUUCAGCGAGGAGGAAGGUGGUGAGCUUAAUACGCUCAUCAAUUGACGUUACUCGCAGAAGAAGCACCGGCUAACUCCGUGCCAGCAGCCGCGGUAAUACGGAGGGUGCAAGCGUUAAUCGGAAUUACUGGGCGUAAAGCGCACGCAGGCGGUUUGUUAAGUCAGAUGUGAAAAUCCCCGGGCUCAACCUGGGAACUGCAUUUGAAAACUGGCAAGCUAGAGUCUCGUAGAGGGGGUAGAAUUCCAGGUGUAGCGGUGAAAUGCGUAGAGAUCUGGAGGAAUACCGGUGGCGAAGGCGGCCCCCUGGACGAAGACUGACGCUCAGGUGCGAAAAGCGUGGGGAGCAAAACAGGAUUAGAUACCCUGGUAGUCCACGCUGUAAAACGAUGUCGAUUUUGGAGGUUGUGCCCUUGAGGCGUGGCUUCCGGAGCUAACGCGUUAAAUCGACCGCCUGGGGAGUACGGCCGC